UUGACCUCAAAUCAGGUAGGACUACCCGCUGAACUUAAGCAUAUCAAUAAGCGGAGGAAAAGAAACUAACAAGGAUUCCCCUAGUAACUGCGAGUGAACCGGGAAAAGCUCAAAUUUUGAAUCUGGCGGU
rnacentral:rRNA from 1 species